AUUGAACGCUGGCGGCAGGCCUAACACAUGCAAGUCGAGCGGAUGAAGGGAGCUUGCUCCUGGAUUCAGCGGCGGACGGGUGAGUAAUGCCUAGGAAUCUGCCUGGUAGUGGGGGAUAACGUCCGGAAACGGGCGCUAAUACCGCAUACGUCCUGAGGGAGAAAGUGGGGGAUCUUCGGACCUCACGCUAUCAGAUGAGCCUAGGUCGGAUUAGCUAGUUGGUGGGGUAAAGGCCUACCAAGGCGACGAUCCGUAACUGGUCUGAGAGGAUGAUCAGUCACACUGGAACUGAGACACGGUCCAGACGCCUUCGGGAGGCAGCAGUGGGGAAUAUUGGGCAAUGGGCGAAAACCUUAUCCAGCCAUGCCGAGUGUGUGAAGAAGAUCUUCGGAUUGUAAAGCACUUUAAGUUGGGAGGAAGGGCAGUAAGUUAAUACCUUGCUGUUUUGACGUUACCAACAGAAUAAGCACCGGCUAACUUCGUG
rnacentral:rRNA from 1 species